AAGAGAUUGUAUGUUUCUUUUCAGCAAUGAUUCUUUUGUUCAGUUUGUGAUACAUACAAAAUGCUGUGUAAUAAUUUAUUUGCCUAUAAUAACCCUGGACAAACGAACCAAUAUAGAUUCAUUCUGCUAACAUACCUCCGUGUGUGAUGUUUACUGUGUGAGUCUCCCAAUGCAUUGGUAACAGGUAUUUACACAGACAACCGAAGGAAGUUGGUACAGGAGGAGUCUUAUCUCCAACAUUACAUGGGUGCUAUUUGUCCAGGAUCACUACAAGCUCCUGCCAGUGGACAACGAGAUGGCUAAUGAUCAUGCAUAACAACUGAUUAAACCCGGAUUUUCAUUGGCACAUGCUCAAAUUCUAUAGUAAGCCAUGCCUGAAAGAAAAGAAAGGAGUUAUGAUACACCAGAGCACAGUCUCCUCACAGGCAAACAGCAAUGCUGGGAGCAGCUGGCAUGAUUUGAAGCCUGCUUUUGCUUCAACCAGCAGAUUGGGUGUAUCUGAAAAGACAUGUGAGAAAGUCACUUGAGCCCAGAUUUGAUGGUCCAUUCCAAGUGCUGUUGACCACGCUCACUUCUGUGAAGGUUAAAGAGAGAGAAGCUUGGAUACAUGCAUCCCACUGCAAACUUGCUCAAGUUAAGUUUGAAUAAACAAACCCACUCACAUAUAAUCAUGCAAAGAUUAUUUGGGCCUAAGCCAGGCAAGCCAUUAUGGGGAGUUAUAUUAGGAACCUCAGUCAUUAUUGUCCUAAUUAUAUACUCUGCAUUUCUCUUUUAGAACAAUAAAACAGGUGAAAUAAGGGGAAAUUUUACUUCCCAACCUCCACCCCAUGAAAAUCAAAGCAACCUUGUAAGAGAUAGAAGAAGUGCUACUAUCUGGCCAAACUCAUUGGUCCAGUCUCACUUUCAAGUAGCCAAGGCACUUGAUUUGUCCAUUUGUUGGGUAUGCACCCAUCCACCAGUAAGUGCCCGGUCCAUGCAUUGUAUGCGGUUCCCCUAACACUGAGUUCCAGUCCUUGAAUUAUUCACUAGGGGAGUGUUAUAACAAAUCCAUGGCCGGAAGACCAGUGAGUUUACUCACAGCUGAAAUGACCAGUCUGCCUAGCUUUUGUAUACAGGCACCACCCACCACUAAGAGCCGACCUAUAACUGAUGGGAUAAUUUUAAAAUGUCAAAUGUCACAACUAACAGUGGGUUGGACAUCACUCUAUGCUAUAGAGGAGGCUAUACAUACCCAUUUUCCCUUAGGGUCAUUAAGGUACAUGCAAAUACUUCUAAUCCCCAAAUAAUUGAAUGGCUUAACAGUUCAGAAUGCAGCUCACAUAUUCAUUCUAAAUCUAGUUUUACAGGCAAAAAACAGGCUGGAUACUUCCAAUCCCCACAACCUUAAUGGCUUAAUAGCUCUAUUGAAGACAUGUUCAUUAUAAAUCAAGGUCAUUCAGGCCCACUGUACAGCCUACAGAUUGCAUUUUGGGUAGUAAUUAAUGUGCCCUAUAUUUUACAACCAGAUGUGUAUUUUCUGUGUGGGAAGAGGGCUUAUAAAUGGAUACCCUAUGGAGGACAGGGUUCCUGUACCCUAGGGAAGGUAAUAUCAGCAGUUAGAUAAAUAAAUAAUCCUGAGAUGAAGGAUAUAUCAGUCCAUCUCAGUCCCUUAAAGAAAAUGGAACUAAAAAAGAGCAAGACUCAUGCCCAUGAUCUUAUUUACAUUGCAUGGUACAAGAAAAUGGGAUUAGCCCUUGCGGGAGGAACGGUUCAGAAAUCCCAUAACAUAGAAGCAUUAGCAAAACUACUUGAUAACAAUACUGCUAUAUAUGAUGACACAUUUAAACUACACUGCUCAAAAAAAUAAAG